rnacentral:lncRNA from 1 species
UAAAAUUGCUUCCAGGUUCAACCAAUACUGAUGUUUAUUAAAGUAAGGAAAUCGAAUGAAAAAGGGUCCUGAUGAAGGUAAAUCCAGAAAAGCGCUUCGGACGCAAUAACUUAUUAAACGUGUUGUUUUCCAUUUUUUUUUAGCCAUUUAAAUGAGAGGAAAAAAUCUGUGGGGGCUGUGCCCCAACCCCCUCUUUUAGGGGCCUCAUUCGGGGGCCCUCAAACCCCUGCCUCCCCUGAAUUCGAACCCUAGUUACGGCCC